rnacentral:rRNA from 1 species
UACGUAGGGGGCAAGCGUUGUCCGGAUUUAUUGGGCGUAAAGCGCUCGCAGGUGGUUCGAUACGUCGUGCGUGAAAGACCCCGGCUCAACUGGGGAGGGUCGUGCGAUACGGUCGAACUGGAGGCCAGUAGGGGGAUGCGGAAUUCCGGGUGUAGUGGUGGAAUGCGUAGAGAUCCGGAGGAACACCAGCGGCGAAGGCGGCAUCCUGGACUGGUCCUGACACUCAUGAGCGAAAGCGUGGGGAGCGAUCCGG